rnacentral:misc_RNA from 1 species
UUCUUUAAGGGCUUCUAUCUAUGUG